UACAAAGCGGUGUACGGGCACAAAGAAUUUUGAUUUCUUAGGAAAGGUUCAACACCUUCUGG
rnacentral:tRNA from 1 species